UCAGGAUGAACGCUGGCGGCGUGCCUAACACAUGCAAGUCGAACGGGAACCUACUAACGGAGACUCGGUUGAAGAUAGUAGAAUUCUAGUGGCGGAUGGGUGAGUAACGCGUGGGUAACCUACCUACAAGAAUUGGAUAACAGCGAGAAAUUGUUGCUAAUACAAUAUAAGCUUACGUUGUCGCAUGACAGAGUGAGAAAAGAUUUAUCGCUUGUAGAUGGACCCGCGUUUGAUUAGCUAGUUGGUGGGGUAGAGGCCUACCAAAGCGACGAUCAAUAGCCGGCCUGCGAGGGUGACCGGCCACAUUGGGACUGAGACACGGCCCAAACUCCUACGGGAGGCAGCAGUGGGGAAUAUUGCACAAUGGGGGGAACCCUGAUGCAGCAACGCCGCGUGAGUGAAGAAGUAUUUCGGUAUGUAAAGCUCUAUCGAUAGGGAAUAAGAUGAAGGUACCUAAGUAAGAAGCCCCGGCUAACUACGUGCCAGCCGCCGC
rnacentral:rRNA from 1 species